CCAUGUCCAUCUUUCUCUUCUCCUCCUUCAUCUCUGCCAGCAUGUCGCCCACCUCCUGUUUGCCCGUUAACCUCCUCAGGCCUGCAGGAAGGACGAAGUGAGAAGCGUACUAUAAAUAAAGCAUUAAUCAAAGAUUAAAUCCAGUCUGCAGCACUCCAGCCCCCUUCACCUCUCUUGGCGUGGUGCUCCUGGCAGCGGACGAUGUAGAGAAAACGGGGGCUCUCAGGGCAGAACGGCAGAAGAGCCAUCUGAAGGACAGUUGGCACGACUGUUAAACCCAUCAGGACAGGCCACAAGUCCUCACCGCCCAGUAACACCUCCAGACCCAGGACCUGCACCAGGAGACGGACCCAAACAUAUACUAGAGACAAAGAGACUAAUGGAUGAAAAGUGGAAUGAAGCUUCUAGGGCUAUAAUGAAGAGGAGAAGGUGCUUUUGAGAGACUGAAGGUUACUGAAACUGUUGCCUGGAUGUUUACCACUGAGGAGAUCCACUAAAACUUUCACCUCUAGAGAGCAGUGUCAUACCAAAAACAUUGACCACUCAGAGACGAAGCCCACGCAGAAGGAGGACAGCAUGCCACCAAUGGAGAAGAUAGCGACAGACAGAGACCAGAGGGAGGCGGCUGGCACCUGUCUAUAGGGUGACUGACGGGACGACCUUGGGGAGAUGAGGUCUUCCCCCCGACAAAGUGUCUAUUAGCCUGACAGAACAGUCUCACACACUACAACUGAAACGUUAGUUAGCAGCUCAAUGCUAAAGACUUAAGUCUAAAGCAGACAAAAAAUUGUGAAUUUUAUAAUGAGCUGUUAAAGUCCUGAGACCUGCUUGAUAAAAGCGAUCAUAAUUACUCAUAACAUUACCCCAAACUUUGACUUUUUGGUGAUGUUUGCUUUUGUGGAUGUAAUGCUUUAAUGUGUGGGAAAACACUUAUUAUCCUGCUUACCUUUUAAAUGUUCACAACUUUAUUAUAACUUAAUAUUGAGAUAAUUAAAAUUGA